rnacentral:rRNA from 1 species
GACGAACGCUGGCGGCGCGCUUAACACAUGCAAGUCGAACGGAAAGGCCUGCUUUCCCUUGUGGAUUGCGGGUACUCGAGUGGCGAACGGGUGAGUAACACGUGAGUGAUCUGCCCCCAACUUGGGUAUAAGCCUGGGAAACUGGGUCUAAUUCCCGAUAGGACUGCAGGGUGGUGCCGGUGGUGGAAAACGAUUUUCUAGUGGUUGGGGAUGAGCUCGCGGCCUAUCAGCUGGUUGGUGGGGUAAUGGCCUACGAAGGCUGCGACGGGUAGCCGGCCGGGGAGGGUGGGCCGGCGCAUUGGGACUGCGACACUGCCCCGACUCCUCCGGGAGGCAGCCGUGGGGAAUAAUGCGCGGUGGGCGGAAGCCUGAUGCAGCGACGCCGCGUGGGGGAUGACGGCCUUCGGGUUGUAAACUCCUUGCGACCGCGAGGAAGCCACCUGGUUGGAAGGGUGGUGACGGUAGUGGUAGAAGAAGCACCGGCUAACUACGUG